AUAAUGAUGAUUCGUAUGAUGCCGUUCCAACCUUUGAGAUGAUUGGUCUGAGAGGUAAAUCGGCAACGUCGUCUGUUUUAAGCUUGUGUACUUUGACAGUACCAUACAGUUUGCCAGGGGCUGAGUCAGUGGGAUAUAGGCUCGUGGUGGAGAGCGGUCAUGCACCAGUGAAAAAGGACGAUUCUACGAUUCCUUUUAAAACCAAACAACUCGGCAAUUAUUACAAACUAGUCGUUAACCCGUGGAAGAAUCCAUGGGGUCGCCUGUCCUUUAUAUAUCGCAUUUCAUGUUUUCGUAACAGGAAGCGUCUUUAAUGGCAGACAGACAGACGACGGCUAUUAUUAACUAGCCGUUAACCCGUGGAAAAAUCCACGGGGUCGCCCGUCCCUUAUAUAUCGCAUUUCGUGUUUCGUGUUUCUGUAACAGGACGCGGUUUUCGCGGACAGACAGACAAAAUACGGCUAUUAUUAAAGAGAAGAGAAGAAGGACAGCAGAAGCAUUCCUUCACUUCUUACAGAAUUUAAAUGCUUGUAACCGGAUUUUUAACAUGUCCACAACAGAUUGUGCGUUUUUAACAGCUUUUGUAAUUAAGAUGCAUCGAACCCGUUGAUGAUAAUUUCUGCUUCGUUGCUUAAAUAGUGGUAAAGUUGAACGAUUCAGGAAGCGUGGACUGGUUUUAAAUCUAACAACUUUGAGGAAAUCUUCACAUCCGCAGGAUCAAUGCCUCGUUUCAACUGAAUUGCCACUUGAUUUGAAAACUUUUUAUUGUACAAACUUUGUUUUAAUAAGAAAUAACAAAAAUCCAAAAUAAACAAAAUUUUCGUCGAACAAAAUUUUUCGCGGACUAAAAUGACGAAAACUUCAGGUGUCCGAAAAAUUUUGUCGGACAAAACUUUUGUCCGACAAAGUUUUCGUCCAAUUAGGUGAAAACACAGAAAACAGCCCGUCCAGCUAAAAAAAUCGCUCAGCAAUUUUAUUUUGCGGAAUAAGUCUGGUGUAGCUACCUGCUUUUGGCAUAAGAAUUACUAAUUAAGAAUUUUGUUGUAGCUGGCUAAACUGUAUCACACAUGCUUUUAGGCUUAAUACGCUUUUCAAAAAAACUACAUUGCAUCUUUGGUUUACAGAACACAGAAUACACUCUGUAAAAAGGCUAGGUAACUGUUACCCGCCGUUGAACACCCGGAUGAGUGAUUAAUAAGAGCCGUCAACUGCGCAACAUAUUCAGGUAAAGCGCUUUAGUAAAGUUAUGUAGUAUGUAGUAAAUCAAAUGAAGUGCACACAACUUUAUGGUGUGUCCAGUGUAAUAUGUUUUUUAUCAAAUAACUUUCCACAACUUAAGCUGAAAUAAAAACACAGAUUACAAUUUGUUGUUACCCCGUCAUAGCAAAAACUUUCUGGCAAACCUUUUUUAUUUUUCGGAUAAUGUUCCCGGUGAGUGUUAGCUGACCAUUUAGUACGGGUAAAUAAUGUGACACAUCCAUACAGAUGUAAUACCAAUUUACCAUGUCACACAUGAGUAUAGGCGUAACACUAUUUUUCAAAAGAACUUCAUCGCAAAUUCGGUUAAAAAAAGUCCAGGAAACCGCUGUUGUUAUCAUGUUCAGUUAAAAAAAUACUCAGCAAUUUUAUUUUGCACCAUAAGUUUUCAUAACAGUAAUAAAAGUGGUAUCUGCCUAACUUCAUUUAGCAUAAGAAUUAAGAAUUGUGUUGCAGCCAAACUGCAUUUGGCUACUUUCACUUUUUGGUCAGAAGUAGCUAAGGAGCUAGCUAGGUAAACACAACUUUAACAUAAAAAUAAAUAAUACUGGCUAGGAUAUAAAGCUGUUAUACUAAACUGAAUAGUAAUAACUAAGGCUAGCUAGCUAGCUGAUUGUAGAAUGCUCCUUAAAAAUCUUCGUUCCUAGCCAAAAAUCAAGAAAUUUUUGGGUUUGAGAUUUGUACUUAGCUACAAAACGUGAGAAUAUAUUUAUCUUAACAUGUAAAAAUAUGUAAAAAAACAAAAAUGAAAACCUUUUUGAAGACAAAAACAGAUUAACCGUCAAUGCCACAGCUUUUAAAAUGGCCGUAGCUCAGAUUGCUUUAUCUUUCCUUCAUUGGUAAAAAUCUGAUUCUGCGGGGUUUUCCCAAAAUUUUCUGAUAAAAGCCGCGCACAACCAUUUUGAAUAUACAGAAUACGGCUAUUAUUAAAGAGAAGAUGGACAACAGAAGUGAUAACCAUUAAAAGAAAUAAACUAACACUAAAUACACAAGAGAAAUCAGUGUCAUUAAGGCUUUUUAACUAACUAUACAUAGAUUUCCAUAGAUUGUAAUGGCAAUAUAAUGUGUGUUACGAGUAAGUUAUGUGUGUUUGAGAAUGUAUUUACAGUCUCUGUGGAUAAAGAAGUAAAAAAAUUGUUGGAAAAAAACUUCAUAAAAGACUGCAUAUAAAUGCUGUAAUGCCAAAAGGAAAAUACUGGGUUAGGCAGCCAAUGGUAAGUUUUUAUUAAAUUUGAUUUGAGAUUUGAAAUUUGAUUUGAGGUUUAAUUUGAAAAAAAAUAUAAAAGUAAUGUUGUGUAGUGGGUUGCACGUACUAUUACUUUCAGUUAAAAAGUCCAAAAAUCAACGUGAUAGAAUAUAAUUAAUUGGAUAUAACAAUUUAAUUGCUAUGUUGUGCUUUUUUUAUGGUUUAUAGAGAACAGACAAAAGAUAUUGCCGACAGAAACGAUGGUGAAAGCAUUAGAGAACAAAGAAUCUUUACAACAAGUGAAGGUUAGUCCGAACAUAUUAACUGUUUUCAUGUUAGAGAAAUGCUCGAAUGUUCGUUGUUAUCAAUCUCAAGAAACCCUUUCGUAUUAACGAAUAAGAUUUGUUCCAUUUUUAUUUAUCUUAUCUUUAGUGAAGAAACUCAAAGUCGCGAUAACCUAGAUUCACAGCAAGCAUGACGAAUUCAUGGUGGUUCAGUUAAAUUUAAAAUAUAAAAUUAUUGAUAGAUAGACAAUUGUCAACCAGGCCUUAACUUUUGCAAUCUUAAAGUUAAAGUCCAAUUGACAAGUAAAAAUUAGGGCCUAAAAAUAUUUUUCCGUUCGACUUCCUUUUGAAUAUUUUUCAUUUUGUGUCGUAGUGUAAAACGUUUGAAAUAUUUUUUUGCAUAUUGGGAAAAGCUGCCAAAAGGGAACAAAUCCAUAGUUCAGCUUGUUUUGAUUAACCACAAAAAAAGCUUAGGGAUGAAUUUCCCGUAUUUAAAAGCAAUCCAUACACAUUGUUUCAGUAAAUUCGGUCUUUGAAAAAAACACGUUUGGGGAGAUAAUUUACCCGCAUUAAGAAGCAAUCCAUACAAGCAAUCCAUGAUAUUCAGUUCUUUUAGUAAAUUCGGUCUUUAGAAAAAACAUUUACGGAGAUAAUUUACCGGUAUUAAGAAGCAAUCCAUACAUAUAAAAUUCAGUUGUUUUAGUAAAUUCGAUUUUUGAAAUAUAUAUAUAUAUAUAUAUGAACACAAAUUGUAGCUAUAGGAAUAACCAACAAGAUAGAUGACUACAUCAAGAAUUAAGUAAAAAGAUUUUAUUAUUUAAAAUUUUCGUCAGUUCAUCGACUGACUUCUUCAGUAUCGCUUACAAUACAGUAUUAACAAUUAAAAUAUCUUAUAUAGUGAUAAAAAUAAAUUAUAUACAAUUAAAUACACAAGGGUUUAAAACUGGUUUCCAUCACCAUCAUCCUACUAUCAACUUAACACACGGUUUCUACAACUUGCAUUUUUCUGUUCUUUUAGUUCUAUUCCAGUCAUGAGAACCAUUAAGUCCCUGAUGUUGUGUGACGAGUGUCCCUAUCCAGAAUUUUUCUUUAUCUAAUAGCAAACUAUCAAUUUGCCUGUUUGUUAAAUUCUCUCCAUUGUUCACAACAUCAACUAUAAUAAACCCAAUAUUUUGCACGGAGGCAUUAGGGCAUUCAUCAAUAAAAUGUUUCACAACUUUGCAAGAUGGUAUCUUCUUUUUAAUGUGGGAUUUGUAAUUCGAAAGUCGAGGCUUCCAAGCAAUGUAAAAAUAUAUAAAAAAACAAGGACAGACUUAGCAACGUCAACGUUACGCAACUUUCAAAAUGGCCGUAAUAACACUGCUCUCUGCUUUACACAUCCCUUUGUCGUGGCUGCAAAAUCUCGGAUUGGUUUUUCAAAAAAAAUCAGGCGUUGCAAUUGAAUGCUACACGCGGGAGAAUAAAACAAAGUCGGUAAAUAUAUAUCGCAUUUGGUAUUUUGUGCAGAUA